rnacentral:lncRNA from 12 species
GCCUGGACCACGCACACACUCCUUGGCCUGUGGCCGAGGGAGGGUGUCACAGGCCCACAUCCUGUCUCCCCCCGCUCGGGACGUGUUUUAUUUAUCUUGCUUUAUACACACGUUAAGUGGGACAUGGUCAAAACAUUUCUCGUUUCCUCCACGUAGGCAGAGCUGACCCUGCAGACGCUGGAAGUUUUCAUUCGGGUCAGCAAGUUGUGGACGUGAAGUAGGACUUUAAAGUAGGUCGCUAUCUGCAUGCAUCCUGGUACCACUGAGCCCUGGACAGAGGACUGUUAGCAUCUCACUGGGAGCCACUGCUGUGCAAAGCAGCACUCAUCACCUACCGUCGUGUCAUUUUGUUGGGGACACUGCCCACCAUCUGACCUCUGUCAGUUCCCUGGAAUCAUGAGUAAAUGUGUGACUCCAACACAG